GAUUACAGCACAGCAGGCCUCCCUGUCCCUCACCAUCUCCCUGAGUUCACCAAAGUUCAUGUCCAUUGACUCUGUGAUGCCAUCCAAUCAUCUCUUCCUUUGCUGCCCUCUUCUCCUAUGGCCUUCAAUCUUCCCCAGGAUCAGAGUCUUUCCCAAUAUCGAUGACUCCCAUGGACCUCCUCUGCCUGGUUCGCCUGCCUUCCUGAACCUUCCAGCGGUUGUCUUCCUCCUCCCCCACCUCCGAAAUCCAGGCAGGCUCUCACCUCUGCCUUGCUGUAGACAGCUGUAGUCGUGUCACAGCGGUAAUGAAGAGUGAACGAAGUCCUGCUGUGGUAUUUCUGACUAGAAUCAAUAGAACCAUCCUCGUUCAAAUGGUCUGUAGCCCAUGAUCAAAGGCAGCCCAGAGGAACAAACUAACAAUAGCUCCAUGGGACAAGUAGGUGCCGUAACUAACUGGACCACAAGGCUUCUUGGCGUGAACCACAUCAGUUCUGAUGGGUUACUACCUAGCCUCCAGUGAGGCACAUGAUGACAGUGAGAUCAGAGCACUUCCUGAUGAUAGUAAGCCUGAUCUUCAGGGCCAGGUAGAAUAUACUCAGAGAGGAUGAACUAGGUCUUAAAGGAACCCCAAACCAUGUCACAUAUGGAAUGCUUAGCUUCUAGGAAAGGCGUGGUCUCUACAUUGUCAGGAGGGGGGUAUAGGUAGUAGGUAGAAGUGAGACAAUGAGACCCAUGGCUUCCUGCUGCUCAGAGGUGCCCAGAGAGGAUCCUGGGUGCAUUGUUGGGUAAUGAGUUCCCUGUUCUGGACAGAUUCAGUGAGAAACUGGGAGAACUUUUGAAAUGAAUGUUAUUGAGGAGAUCCAAAAUAAGAUGGGCUUUUGUCCUAUAUAAACUUGCAUCUCUCUCUGAUUCUUGAGAUUCUGCAUUUCCAAUGUCCCCUCAUCUACCUCCAAUCCCAGCUCUACGUGCACACAAAAAAUGGUAAAAUAAAUAAAU
ensembl:lncRNA